GGAAACCACAGAACAAGUUCUGGGCUGGAGAUGUAGAUUUCAUUCUAGAGCUGCCAGCAGUAGAGAUGGUAAUUGAAGCCAUGGGAAUGGAUGCGAUUGUCCAGGGACUGUAGGUAAAAUGAGAAUAGAUAAGUGCCAAAGGGCACAGCCUGGGAAUGUCAACAUUUAAGUGACAAUUUCGGAAAGAGAAGCCAGGGAGAAAACCAGAGAAAAGCAGUUGGAGAAGCAAGAAGGCAGCCAGCAGUGGUCCUGGUACAGCUGUGAUGGGAAGACAAUGACAAAACAGCAGGAACUGGAACCGAGGGUUAUUGGCGUAGCUUGGGCUCUCCUCGCAUCAUUCUCUCCAGCUGGGAGUCGUGCGGCAGGAGCAAGAAGCCUGUCUCGGCGCACGUAUAAAAGAGCAAGCUCCAAACACCCACGUCUGAUCUGUGCUGACCUACAAGCAUGAGGUGGCCCAUCUUGGCGACUGGAAAUGACACCAUUCAAUUUUUCUGGCCACUAUGUUGCACCCCUGAUUUCUUCCUUCAUAUGACAGGCUUCACUCCUACUGAGUCCAAACAACUGCUACAGUUGAGAACAAGUGUGAAUCCGGCACCCAUCUUCUCCUAGAAAUAAGGUUAUUGGGUUGCUGAACUCCCACGAACCAAAAAGAAAACACUAAGUGGUAUCCAAACCAGCCUGGAAGGAGCAGUGAGAAAAGCCAGAACCAAGGCUGAUCAGCCUGAAUGCUGGUAAAUGUUAUCAAGGAUCUGGAGCAGGAGCCUCGCUCCCCUAUGAAAAGGAGAAGAAUCUGAAGAAAGCACUUCCCUUCCUUCUCUCUACCUGGGGGCAGUGACCUUGAAUACAACCACCAUCAUCCCUUCCAGACACCAGAAGGGGGAGUCCCACAAGGCAGAAGGUGCCUUUGUGACAUGUCCUCUUCUCGUCCAUGUUCUUUACCUCCUUGCUCGGGAAGCCAUAAAGUUGAGCUCAGUAGAAGGUGAAUUUCAUUGCAAAGUUUACAGACUCCGCUGACAGGUUCAUGAAAACACUGCUGACUAUAUUACAUACCGCCAAUGCUCACAGCACAUCCCAUGUUGGAAGUGAUACUUUUCCACUGGCAGUUACCCUCUUUUGUCCUAGGAGCUCACUGAACAACUAAAAUCAAGUGAUAUUUUUAUGUGGAACAUACAACAUAUUAAGUCCUUUUGCUCAGUGACUCAUAUAGGAACUCAACAGUACCCAGACUAGAAAUCAAUGUCAAAUUGUUCAAAUAAAUUCCACUUAAAGAA